rnacentral:lncRNA from 1 species
UAGGAUACCCCAAUCCCAGUGACGAAAUACCAUCACUUGAAGACUUUGAGGAUUUAGAUGCAGGAAUCAUUGCUCUGGCUAUUCUUACUGCAAUUGUUGCUGUUGUAGUA